AGGGAGGGCAAGCAAUCAGGUUAAUAUUUUAUUAAAUGUUUAUAUUCUAGCUACUGUUUAAGACAGAAUUCAUCAAGUAGCAGAAGUGAUGGAAGGGCCAAGGGGAAGAAAGAUGGACAAAACCUGAAAAUUGAAAGUGCAAUAAAAUGAAAAUUACAAAUGAAAACCAGUAUGCCUGAGAUAUACAUGACUGUUUAGUAGAGUGUCUUCAUGUGGGUUAAAGAAGAAAAGGAAUUACCAGCUGGAAUCAGCAGAACAGAUUUAGCACUUGACCCUUGGAUACUUUUCAUUCUAUUUAUCUAUCAUAUUUUUAUUGGUUUGUAUUCCAUUGACUACUAUAUGCACCGACCCUC
rnacentral:lncRNA from 10 species